UACGAAGGUCAAUUAAUAUGUAAGGACACCAAUAAACAGACACUUUCCAAUUAUGGUAGAUCAUAUACAUGGGUGGUCAAACUCACUGGAUGGUUUAUCAACACUCCCAUGCUCACGAACAGCCUUGCCCCAGGAAUUUUGCCCUGAAGUAACAUUUGCAGUCUAUUGUCUCCUUUCUUUUUACAACCCUGGCAGCCAUGCAGGAUAGAAGCUGAUCACUUGUACUUGACAGCAAAUAGUAAUGCCUUGGACAAGUCAAAGAAUUUCCUCCAGUCUUACAGAGAAAUGACAGUUGAUAAAAGAAUGGUGGACACAAAGUAAAAGUGCUCUUCAAUAUUUUGUUGAAGAUUUCAGUCUGAUUUGGGAUUCAUCUUGCAAUAUUUCUGAAUUUAUAUAUUUGGAUAUAAGCGUCAAAUUUUCAACUUAUUGACUAAACAGUUUGGCGUU